GGUUACUGAGGUGUGUAUGAGCUAAGGCUUCUUUAUAAAGUGCCAAAUUGAAUGUAGUCACUCCAGAACUUCUGGGAACUUUCCUGAUGGGUCCAGGACUCUACACAGAUCCAGUAUCAGAGAGCCCAGUUCUGCAGCCAGAGUUCAACUUUUCAGAGGACGUGUGUGUGCCACCCAUGGUAUGUCAGCUUGUUGACAAAGGACACAGGAAAUAAAAUACUUGUGAGGUCCCUUUAGACAGCCUCGGUUAACCAGCUUCUUGCCUCAAGAUGAAAGCAAAAUCCAUCAGUGCUUGCUGCGUCAUCUGGAAGAGGUUGAAAAACCCAGCCUCUGAUGGUUUACUCAUGGUGACAAAAAUGGGAUUAAUUAAAUGUCCCUGGUACUUGGCUCCUGCCUCCCUCUCCAGCCCAGUCUCCCUCCGGGACAUCGCUUCCAUCAUUUACCCCAGGCUACAAGAUAGAGAUUGCCAUUCAGCUUCUCCACUCUAUUUUUCUUUAUCCCACCAUUGUCUCAAAUUUUCUUUACUUCUACAUUCUUUCCUGCUUUAAGACACUUCUCUUUGUCCAUAACCUUAUAAUUUUAUGAUUGACAGAUAAAGAUAACUGAUUUUUCAUGAUUUAUAGUGCAGUGAUUUUCACUGCAACUGAGAAACUGGUUUGUGGCCAGUUCAUCAGAACACUUCAUUUGGAUUGGAAGAAUUCUUAUGGGGAGAGACUGGCAUAAUAUUCUAGCAGAGAAGCCCACUCCAAAAUGUACGGUUAAUGACUCUUGCAGUAGAAUUAGUUUAUGUAAGUUUAUUUGCUCUAAAUCAAUACCUGACCAUGACCAUUUCAACAGAUGGUAUGAAUAAAAUUUGCCUCAGACAUGAAAACCUCAUCUCAAAAACAAAAAAGGAGAAAGACCACAAAUUUUUUCCUUGAUUGCUUACACAAAUGUUACUCAAAACAAACAAAAGAAGGAAUAUAUCUUAAUCGGUCUCUGAUUUAGCCCUGUACAAUGAUUACUGAACACUGGUAAAGUCUGUAUACACCGGAAGCAUGAGAUUAUCUCCCUGCUUUACACAAGCUGAUCUUUCUCCAAUCAUAGGGGACAGUAUUCAAAUUGCCUGAUGAUAUUUCAGGUCACUCUGCCUUCAACACACAGUGACUUCUGCCUAAAGUUCCUUCUCUGUUUCUUCAUCUUAUUAGAUUCAACUCAUCUUUCAAGACAUGGGUAUAAUAGCACCUCCUUAAGAAAGCAUUCUCUGUCCAUCCUCGAUCAUUACUGCACCCCACUCUGAGCUCAGACAGCAUUCUGCAUGAGUAUUUAUCAUAGGAAUAGUGUGCUGUUAUAAUUUUGAUUUAUUGCUUCUCUUUUGGACCACAGGCUA